UACGGAAGGCAGCAGUGGGGAAUAUUGCACAAUGGGCGCAAGCCUGAUGCAGCCAUGCCGCGUGUAUGAAGAAGGCCUUCGGGUUGUAAAGUACUUUCAGUCGUGAGGAAGGUGUUAAGGUUAAUAACCUUAGCAAUUGACGUUAGCGACAGAAGAAGCACCGGCUAACUCCGUGCCAGCAGCCGCGGUAAUACGGAGGGUGUGAGCGUUAAUCGGAAUUACUGGGCGUAAAGGGCACGCAGGCGGUUAAUUAAGUUGGAUGUGAAAUCCCCGGGCUUAACCUGGGAAUGGCAUUCAAGACUGGUUAGCUAGAGUCUUGUAGAGGGGGUAGAAUUCCGAUGUGUAGCGGUGAAAUGCGUAGAGAUGUGGAGGAAUACCGGUGGCGAAGGCGGCCCCUGGACAAGACUGACGCUCAUGUGCGAAAGCGUGGGGAGCAAACGAGGAUUAGAUACC
rnacentral:rRNA from 1 species